UGGCCGGGCGACGGUUGUCCCGGUUUAAGCGUGUAGGUGUGUGUUCCAGGUAAAUCCGGUUCACUUUAACACUGAGGCGUGACGACGAGGCACUACGGUGCUGAAGCAACAAAUGCCCUGCUUCCAGGAAAAGCCUCUAAGCAUCAGGUAACAUCAAAUCGUACCCCAAACCGACACAGGUGGUCAGGUAGAGAAUACCAAGGCGCUUGAGAGAACUCGGGUGAAGGAACUAGGCAAAAUGGUGCCGUAACUUCGGGAGAAGGCACGCUGACACGUAGGUGAAGUGAUUUACUCAUGGAGCUGAAGUCAGUCGAAGAUACCAGCUGGCUGCAACUGUUUAUUAAAAACACAGCACUGUGCAAACACGAAAGUGGACGUAUACGGUGUGACGCCUGCCCGGUGCCGGAAGGUUAAUUGAUGGGGUCAGCGCAAGCGAAGCUCCUGAUCGAAGCCCCGGUAAACGGCGGCCGUAACUAUAACGGUCCUAAGGUAGCGAAAUUCCUUGUCGGGUAAGUUCCGACCUGCACGAAUGGCGUAAUGAUGGCCAGGCUGUCUCCACCCGAGACUCAGUGAAAUUGAACUCGCUGUGAAGAUGCAGUGUACCCGCGGCAAGACGGAAAGACCCCGUGAACCUUUACUAUAGCUUGACACUGAACAUUGAGCCUUGAUGUGUAGGAUAGGUGGGAGGCUUUGAAGCGUGGACGCCAGUCUGCGUGGAGCCGACCUUGAAAUACCACCCUUUAAUGUUUGAUGUUCUAACGUGGACCCGUGAUCCGGGUUGCGGACAGUGUCUGGUGGGUAGUUUGACUGGGGCGGUCUCCUCCUAAAGAGUAACGGAGGAGCACGAAGGUUGGCUAAUCCUGGUCGGACAUCAGGAGGUUAGUGCAAUGGCAUAAGCCAGCUUGACUGCGAGCGUGACGGCGCGAGCAGGUGCGAAAGCAGGUCAUAGUGAUCCGGUGGUUCUGAAUGGAAGGGCCAUCGCUCAACGGAUAAAAGGUACUCCGGGGAUAACAGGCUGAUACCGCCCAAGAGUUCAUAUCGACGGCGGUGUUUGGCACCUCGAUGUCGGCUCAUCACAUCCUGGGGCUGAAGUAGGUCCCAAGGGUAUGGCUGUUCGCCAUUUAAAGUGGUACGCGAGCUGGGUUUAGAACGUCGUGAGACAGUUCGGUCCCUAUCUGCCGUGGGCGCUGGAGAACUGAGGGGGGCUGCUCCUAGUACGAGAGGACCGGAGUGGACGCAUCACUGGUGUUCGGGUUGUCAUGCCAAUGGCACUGCCCGGUAGCUAAAUGCGGAAGAGAUAAGUGCUGAAAGCAUCUAAGCACGAAACUUGCCCCGA
rnacentral:rRNA from 1 species